UCAGGUGAUCCACCCGCCUCGAACCCCCAAUUUUUUCACCUUUGGUGCCUGGCAGUUUUGAGCAGCACUGCUCAGGUGUUAAAGGGCACCCCUGGGUGGCUCUGUCAGCCACAAGCCUCAUAGUUGGGCUGGGCGAUGGGUGGUGGGCUUGGGAGGAAGAGCAUGGGCAACACGCCUCCCCCCGCACACGUCAGGGACACGGAGUCAGCGGGAGCACCGCAGGCGGCGUUGGCCUUGACUGAGGCUGAGGUGUCCCUGUCGGGCCUCUCCACUGCGGAGCCGCUUCCUCCUCGGGAAGCCUGGGCCCCUUGCUGGGGAGCCCCUUCUGGACCCGUGUGCUGGGAAGUGCUGCGCCAGCUGCAGCCUGGCACACAGCAGGUGCCUAAUUCGCCCUCUCUGAAUUGAACGGAGCGAGGCUGUGGCCUCGUUAGGAAGGACGUUCUCCCUGCACCCAGCUCCCUCCUGGCUCAUGGUCUCAUUAAGCCCCGAUGCUCCCUCGGGCCAGCGCUCCUCUGCUCAGCUCACUCCCGACGUGAGGACUUCCCGCCAGGCCCUGCUGGCUCCAGCUUCUGCCCACCCAGAAGGGGCACACUGGGGAGCUGAGGCCCCCCGCGAGGGCUCCCAGCCAGAAGGCAUCCGGCUCCCCCACCAGUGUCCUUUCUACCCACCACAGAAGCAUCAAAAGCACACGGCACAGACAAGUCUACCCACGGCUCUGCCGCCUCCUCCCCGCCACACCCGGCAUGUCUAGCAGAAAGGAUUCCUCUCAGUUUUGCAAGGAAGAAAUGGAGGCAACGGGGUGAGGACAUUUCCCCAGGCAGUAUAACCGGGAAGAGAGAGUAGGCUGCGCCCCGGAGGCCUGGCACCUGAAGCCUUUCCCACUGCUCUGCCUGGAAGCAGGAAGCCCCCUGGACUUUGGUUUCCCUCCGUGGCCUGGCGUGUGAGCCCUCGAGGGAGGGACAAGCCCGCCUGGAGCCUCGAGCCACAGCCAACCCUGCAAACCCUCUCUACCCGCCAUGGGCGAGCCUCUGUCACUCCGAGAUGGGACAGGCCUGGCUCAGGCCAGCCGGGUGUAGUGGAGACGCUCACCAAGCACACGCCCCUCAGGGGACGCAGCAGCAAGGCAACAUGGUCAGGAUGGAGAACCGAGCACACCUCUCCCUGGGAUUCCAGGUCAGGUCCAAGGGAGCAGGGGCUGGACGUGCCCAGUCACAAGACUGGCAGAAAGGAGAAUGUAGGAGGCAAGAGGGGCGUGGACUCAGCUCCUCCUCCCUGGAAACCGUUCCAGGGGACUCACGAAGGGAACGGCCUCCCUCCCACCAUGGUGAUGCCCUCCAGCUCCCCACACAGGGUGGUCCCAGCUCCAUCCUCCAGGAGCCCCCCCAUGCCUUUUCCUGAACAGAACUCUCGGAAACAGCAGUGUGUUCAUGGUGGAGCCGAUCCCUGUGUCUGUGCUGGAGUCACUGUGCCUCGGUUUCCCCAUCUGUGACCCAGCCCAGACCAACAAAGACAGACGCACCACAGGCACCAAAGUCUCCCAGGCAUUGGUCUGGGUUUGGGCCAAGGAGGAGUCAAAAGAGGCGGUUCAAUCACAAGAUCAGGAGUUCGAGACCAGCCUGGCCAACAUAGUGAAA